UACGGAGGGUGCAAGCGUUAUCCGGAUUUACUGGGUUUAAAGGGUGCGCAGGCGGAUAUAUAAGUCAGUGGUGAAAUCUCUAGGCUUAACCUGGAAAUUGCCGUUGAUACUAUAUAUCUUGAAUGUUGUGGAGGUAAGCAGAAUAUGUCAUGUAGCGGUGAAAUGCUUAGAUAUGACAUAGAAUACCUAUUGCGAAGGCAGCUUACUACGCAGAUAUUGACGCUCAUGCACGAAAGCGUGGGGAUCAAACAGGA
rnacentral:rRNA from 1 species